rnacentral:rRNA from 1 species
UUAGGUUAAGCUACUAAGAGCGCACGGAGGAUGCCUAGGCGCCAGAAGCCGAUGAAGGACGUGGCGAACCACGAUAGGCCUCGGGGAGCUGUAAGCAAGCGUUGAUCCGGGGAUUUCCGAAUGGGGAAACCCAGCUGGAGUAAUGUCCAGUUACUGCAGAGUGAAUACAUAGCUCUGCGUGAGGCAUACCAGGGGAACUGAAACAUCUAAGUACCCUGAGGAAGAGAAAACAAUAGUGAUUCCGUCAGUAGCGGCGAGCGAACGCGGAUUAGCCCAAACCAGGAGGCUUGCCUCCUGGGGUUGUGGGACGUCUCACAUGGAGUUACAAAGGAAUGGGUUAGGCGAAGAGGUCUGGAAAGGCCCGCUACAAGAGGUAAAAGCCCUGUACCCAAAAGUCCAUUCCCUCCGAGACGGAUCCCGAGUACCGCGAGACACGUGAAACCUCGUGGGAAUCCGGCAGGACCAUCUGCCAAGGCUAAAUACUCUCUGGCGACCGAUAGUGAAGCAGUACCGUGAGGGAAAGGUGAAAAGCACCGCGGGAGCGGAGUGAAAUAGAACCUGAAACCGUGCGCUUACAAGAAGUCAGAGCCCUCUAUAUGGGUGAUGGCGUGCCUUUUGUAGAAUGAACCGGCGAGUUACGUUCACGUGCAAGGUUAAGUCGGGAAGACGGAGCCGCAGCGAAAGCGAGUCUGAAUAGGGCGCCAUAGUACGUGGGUGUAGACCCGAAACCGUGUGAUCUACCCCUGUCCAGGGUGAAGGUGCGGUAACACGCACUGGAGGCCCGAACCCACGAAUGUUGAAAAAUUCGGGGAUGAGGUGGGGG